rnacentral:tRNA from 1 species
UCCCUGCUGGCUCAGCUGGUAAAGCAUCCACCUGGAAUGUGGGAGACCUGGGUUCGAUCCCUGGGUUAGGAA